UACGUAGGGUGCGAGCGUUAAUCGGAAUUACUGGGCGUAAAGCGUGCGCAGGCGGUUCGUUGUGUCGGCGGUGAAAGCCCCGGGCUUAACCUGGGGAUGGCCGUUGAAACUGGCGGACUGGAGUGUGGCAGAGGGGGGUGGAAUUCCGCGUGUAGCAGUGAAAUGCGUAGAGAUGCGGAGGAACACCGAUGGCGAAGGCAGCCCCCUGGGCUAACACUGACGCUCAGGCACGAAAGCGUGGGGAGCAAACAGG
rnacentral:rRNA from 1 species